rnacentral:rRNA from 1 species
CCUACGGGAGGCAGCAGUGAGGAAUAUUGGUCAAUGGGCGCGAGCCUGAACCAGCCAAGUCGCGUGAGGGAUGACGGUCCUCUGGAUCGUAAACCUCUUUUAUAAGGGAAUAAAGUGUGGGACGUGUCCUAUUUUGUAUGUACCUUAUGAAUAAGGAUCGGCUAACUUCGUGCCAGAAGCCGCGGUAAUACGGAGGAUCCGAGCGUUAGCCGGAUUUAUUGGGUUUAAAGGGUGGGUAGGCGGCCUUUUAUGUCAGCGGUGAAAGUCUGUGGCUCAACCAUAGAAGUGCCAUUGAAACUGGGGGGCUUGAGUAUGUUUGAGGCAGGCGGAAUGCGUGGUGUAGCGGUGAAAUGCUUAGAUAUCACGCAGAACCCCGAUUGCGAAGGCAGCCGGCCAAGCCAUGACUGACGCUGAUGCACGAAAGCGUGGGGAUCAAACAGGAUUAGAUACCCGAGUAGUC